GCACAACGAAAACCUUAGAAAAAGAGAGUACAUAUCUAGAAAACACAAUCAGGCUCAAACUUAAUCAUCGAUCUACACAUAGAUCUUUUAAAUCACAAGUCCUAACCAAAAACACAACCAAGAACUUCUUACACUUUUACAGAUUCAAAAUCAGCCACUAUUUCAAGCCUGUUUACUGUAGCAACACGAAUCACACAGGAUUCAACCACUAUUUUGAGCUAGAAACUCAUAAGAAAUCAAACAUCAAAG
rnacentral:lncRNA from 1 species